AGCGAGGCUAGAGUCACGCCUGGACACGCUCCAUUGUCCUGGUGUGCUAGAGCGCUCGCAGAGGAAACCUCUUUGCUUAUUCAUUGGCUGUAGUCUGUUGUGGCCCAGUCAACCACCAGCUCAGAAACACUU
ensembl:snoRNA small nucleolar RNA SNORA3/SNORA45 family